AUGCUUCCCCUCCCUCCAAGGCGCCUACUUGGAUCGCUGCCUCAUCUUUCGGCGCUUCCUCUUGAGCCUCCUCAUCCUCUUCUUCUUCCACUGCACAUUAAGACGAAAUGCAGAUCAUCAGUACAAAUUGCAUAG
rnacentral:rRNA from 1 species